rnacentral:rRNA from 1 species
AUGAAACAAUUGGAGUGUCCGUUUCUGGUAAUCAAAGAUGAUGAUAUCUAUGAAGAAGGCCCGUACCGUUGGAUUUCAGUCACAUGGAGGAAUACAGAACUUCUUGGUAUGCAAACUAUACCUGCAAUGACGAAAUCUUUCUUCUUGGCCUUUGAAAGAUCUGACCAUCCACAAACUUUACCAAAUGGAUUCUUUGAACAUUCAAGCAAGCUUGGUGUGCUAGUUCUCUGCUGGUGUGCCUUCAGUUUUGCAUCACCCUCUUUCUUGAAGUGCCCUCGACUAAGAUUCCUCGGAUUGGACCACUGUACAGAUAAGAAAACAAUAGGAGACAAUCAUACAGAGUGGUUAUGUUUGUAUAGCUUGUGGGUCCUGGACCUACCAUACACAAACUGGAAUGAAAUCUUAUCCGAAGAAAAGAUGGAUCUCAUGACUAAUGUCAAAGAGCUGAAUAUAGAGGGAGUCAUGGGCUGGCAGUACAUAGCUCACCUACAAUGCCGGUUACCUAACCUCCAGAGGCUCCGAAUAAUCAAACCAACAUGUCAAUGGGAGACAUCGCAGGAUGUUGAUAACUCCUUUACAGAUAAGGCAAGUAUGGAAAUACUGGAUUUGUCUGGCAAUUGUGACAUGAAAAUUCUUCCAACAAGCCUAUCUAAGGCAUGUAGCCUCCGGUUGCUUAUACUUGAUGGUUGUGAUGGGCUGGAAAGCGUUGGUGGGCUUCCUCCCUCCCUUGAAUCCUUUAGCUUUAAUUGAUAUGGGCCAACUUCUCAAUGGACACAGACUGUUGAGCUACCUCCAAAACAAUUUCGUCCAUCCAGCACAACAGAUAAGAAUGAUGUCAGAAUAUCCAAUAUCUCCUUAGCAGGCUGCACACAAUUGGAGAAUUUGUUCUUGUGCUGGCUACCCAACCUUGUCGAAUUGGACCUCUCUGGAACAGCAAUCAAGAUACUUGACUUCAAGACUAUGGUGGUGCAAGUCCCAAGGCUCAAGAGACUGUUUCUAAUAGGAUGCAAGCACCUUCGUGCAAUUACCUUUUUGGGCGAGAGUGUUUCUGACCUGGAGUUGAUGUGUGUAGACACGCGAGAUGGAAUUGUGUGUCCUCGGCCAUCUAUCAGCAAAAACAAACCUUCUGGGCUGCAGAUCCAUGCUGUUGUUGUGGAUGCGAGGUUUACUCACUCCUUGCGGAAUCUGAUUUCUAAUUAUAUAGAAAAUGUUCAUUUUAAUAUCCACUUCACCUCCUCACCUGUGUAUGAUGGGGUUAUUCAAUUUGAAGCAACUAGCAAGGAUAUGAUUGGCACCAGUGAUCAAGAGAGUCUACAUCUUAUUCCAACAGACCAGUAUACUGAUGUCCUUGGGAUGGUUGGUGCUGCCCCAAUGCAGGCCUUUCCACAACCUCCUAGUACAAAGUCUGAUCGGCAUGUAGAGAUUGCUGAAGGGAGCUUCUAUGUUGAAAAGGAACUUGACUCGCUGAUGGCAAAUUAUGUGGAAUCCCUGCAAGUGCAUGAUGUCUCGGUACGUGCUAUUGUGCCACGAGGCCGUUGGUGGGGCAAGCUUAGGUGGUGUUGCGUGGAGAGGUGCCCAAAAGUGGAUACUGUCUUCCCUAAGAAUUUAUUGGCAUUUACUGCAUUGGAGAACUUGUGGGUGUCAGACCUCCUGAUGGCCCGCUCCAUUUUGAGUAAAAUUCCACGCUUUAAUCAAUAUAGCGUUAUCAGUUCGUUUGGAAAUUUACAACGCCUUCAGCUGCGUUCAUGCCCCAGCCUCCAGUUUCUGCUCCCAGUGUGGGUGUCCUCCUUCCCCAGCUUGGAGACCCUCCACAUCAUCCACUGCGGCGACCUCAGCCACAUCUUCACAAUGGACGAAAAGUACCCCGAAGAAAUAACUACCCGCGGCGUACUAUUCCCGAAGCUGACAACCAUCCACCUGCACGACCUGCCAAAGCUGCACAACAUAUGUGAGGUCAAAAUGGUGGCCCCAAUGCUCGCGAGCCUCAAAAUCAGGGGAUGCUGGAGCCUGCGCCGGCUGCCAUCCGUAGGUGCCCGUGGCCGUGGCAAGAAGAAGCCAGCCGUCGAGAUUGAGAAGGACGUGUGCGACGCUCUGGAGUGGGACGCCGGUCACCGCCCCGACCACUUUGAGGCGCCCAUCCACUCGCGCUACUACAAGGAGAAGUUGCACAGAGUCUCCGUCCUCAGGUACUGA